GCUAACCGUGUGCCGGCAGGGUGGGUAAGACAGAGGGUCCAAGCGUGGUUCGGAUUCACUGGGCGGAAAGGGUGCGUAGGUGGUGGGGUAAGUCGGAUGUGAAAUCUCCGAGCUCAACUCGGAAAUGGCAUUGGAAACUACCCUGCUGGAGGGUCGGAGGGGGGACUGGAAUUCUCGGUGUAGCAGUGAAAUGCGUAGAUAUCGAGAGGAACACCAGUGGCGAAGGCGAGUCCCUGGACGACUCCUGACACUGAGGCACGAAAGCUAGGGGAGCAAACAGGAUUAGAUACCCCGGUAGUC
rnacentral:rRNA from 1 species